rnacentral:lncRNA from 1 species
CAAUACAGCUAACUCCGAGGGCCACAGGCUGUGCGUUUUUAAACAACCGUGGACUGGAAUGCGGUCUUUGGGUUUUUGUUUGCUUUUGUGCUGUGCAUGCAAGCACUGUAGCACCGAGCUCCAUACACUCCCAGCCCCGCCCCAGGCCUUUCCAAGAGGGCGCCAGGUGGAGGUGAAGUGGGGAGCAGAGGAGAGGCCGGAGGAACUUCCGUGGAGCCUCCGGCCGCACAGCCGGGUCCGGCUGGGGUGACUGGCUCGCUUCCCGGGGAGCUGGCUUUGAUUUUAACUCGAAGCCUGGAAUGCUCCAGCCCGGACAAACCUUGAGGAUCACGGCAGCCACGCUGGCACCAAGUUUAGGAUUUGGAGCUGAAAGUUUCAAAAGGAAAACGUCUUUCCCGGGUCUUCCUGUGCGGCUCGAUUUGGACCCGGGCAGCCUGGAGAAGCAAACUGGCUUUCUCUCCGUAGGCGCGGGGCGGGGGAGCGCUGUUUACCUGCCGAGCAGGGCGGGUCUGUGAACGGCCUGGCGCGGUGGCUGCAGGCCGAGGCGAAAUGGACCUUCCUCCCACCUCAUUGUUCUGGGUCUCAGUUCAGCCCUCGCCGCAGAAGGACCGCACUGCGCUUCUGCGACAUCCGUCAGCCCCGCCCCUGCACCUAGGGGAUCUAACUUCUCAAAGAAGCCAGCGACAAAGUAGCUGUGGCUCCUUCUGUGUUGCCCAUGAGGCAGCAAAGCUGAGCCCAGACGCCGCUCCUUUCUCGGGGUUUUUCAUCUGGAAAAUGGAGCCGAAGAAGGCGAUCUCUGAGGAGAAUCGCCUCCCCAGGUGCUGUCUCCUCCGGCCGAGCUGCAGGAGGGACGGUGACAGGCCCGAGGAGUGUCCUGUCCACGAGCCCCUCCCCUUCCCACCGGCCCAGGUUCAUCCAGGGUGCAUCUUCGGGGAAAGGCUGAUGAACUCUCCUAGAUGCAUGGAUGAACAUCUGUACCCGGAACAGACGGAGCCAGCAAUCUGGGAGACACAGCAAGAGGGAGUCGAGAUUCUGAGGAAGACUCAGGAACAAUCUCUCCAGUGAAUCAGGACACCACUCAGUGGAAAUCAAGACUUGGCUGUGAUCCCUCAGCCUGGGCUUCCUGCUAACUCCUGGGAACUUGCCAGUGUGUAAUUAAUAGCUCCUUUCUCCCCGAAGUACUUCUCAGACAUGGAAAAAAGCAAAAUCCUCAUCUCUUUCAGGUUCUCAAGUUACAGGAGGUUUGAUGUAUGAUCUUUUGUCUUUAUGAUGAUGCAAAAGCAAUGCACACUUGGUGGAAGCCAUGCUUUGG